rnacentral:rRNA from 1 species
GAUGAACGCUCGCGGCAGGCCUAAUACAUGCAAGUCGAACGAGAUUAAGAGGCUUGCUUCUUAUGAAAGUGGCGCACGGGUGCGUAACGCGUAUGCAACCUACCUUAAUCAGGGGGAUAGCCCGAAGAAAUUCGGAUUAAGACCGCAUAAAAACACAGGAUAGCAUUAUCCAAUGUUCAAAUAUUUAUAGGAUUAAGAUGGGCAUGCGUGUCAUUAGCUAGUUGGCGGGGUAACGGCCCACCAAGGCGACGAUGACUAGGGGAUCUGAGAGGAUGACCCCCCACACUGGUACUGAGACACGGACCAGACUCCUACGGGAGGCAGCAGUAAGGAAUAUUGGUCAAUGGAGGGAACUCUGAACCAGCCAUGCCGCGUGCAGGAAGACAGCCCUCUGGGUCGUAAACUGCUUUUAUUCGGGAAUAAACCUUUCUACGUGUAGGAAGCUGAAUGUACCGAAGGAAUAAGGAUCGGCUAACUCCGUG